rnacentral:rRNA from 1 species
CGCGUAGGCGGUUUGUUAAGUCAGCUGUGAAAGCCCCGGGCUCAACCUGGGAACUGCAGUUGGUACUGGCCGACUAGAGUACGAGAGAGGGAGGUAGAAUUCCACGUGUAGCGGUGAAAUGCGUAGAUAUGUGGAGGAAUACCGGUGGCGAAGGCGGCCUCCUGGCUCGAUACUGACGCUGAGGUGCGAAAGCGUGGGGAGCAAACA